GCCGCAAUAGCUCAGGUGGUAGAGCACAUCAUUCGUAAUGAUGGGGUCGGGGGUUCGAGUCCCUCUUGCGGCACCA
rnacentral:tRNA from 3 species